UGAGAAAAAUAAAAUAAAUGGUGGAGUAUGAAUUUUAAAACUCACUGGGAGGAUGUUUGAGUCAUCGUCUGCGAUUCAUACGCUACAUUAGACCAUCAAGCUCCAAACCUAAGUAUACAAGCAGACUCACAAGAUCAUUAAUUACGCCAAUAAAUUAAUUUAAAAAAAGAUUUCAAAAAGCAAUUGAUAAUAAAAGAAACAAAUAUCACCUAAAUAGAAGAUAAUUAAUUAAAAAAACAGUUGAUGAGAACAAUUGACCGAGAAUAAUCCCAUGUGAAUAUCAAUUAAUUGGAAUUUAAAAAAAAGGGGGAUAUAAAUGAUAAGAAAUUAAUUUUUAUAAAUAAACGAAGAGUAAAUUCAUCAUAUAAAAAACAAAUGAAUUGUUUUCUCACAGAAUUAGUAUCUUUAACAUACGUCAGUCUUUCGAUAACGAUAAUAAAUCAAUUUUAAUCUAAAAAAUGAAAGACAAACGACGUAUUUAAUUGGCACAUAUUUUUUUCAAGUUACACUCCGCUAGUUUUGAUUUAACUUUCGAUUAAGAUUAGUCAUAACUGGAAAUUAAAAUGGAAAAACGAAAAAGUAUGAGAAACCAGUAAAUGUAGAUCAUUAUCGAUUUUCUUAAAGUGCAAACCAAUAAAUGGCAAAGAUCCUGUAGAAAAGGAAUGAAUUUUUUUUUUGUUUUAUAAUGCAUGAUACUCUCAUAUAGCUAUCAUACACAUAUACUUGUUUGUAAAUUAGAUAUAUGGAUACUUGUACAUGGUAUGGAGGUACUUAUAAGAAAAUGUUGCACACUGAGACAUGAGAGUCAAGUGGACUUUUACUUUCACUAUUAAAGGAAACAUGGCAAACCGUUAUGCCACGGUUUUGUCAAAAAUUCUAGAAUAUUUUGUGGAUAUACGGGAUAAUGUGAAACUCUUGUCAAGUUUUAUCUAAAGGUAUGUGUACAUUUAAAAAUCGUCAAUCAACAGCACAAGUUGAAAAGAAUUCGGACAAAUUUCCUGCAGUGAAUGAGUCAUAGAAAAUCAUUUUCCUCUAAAGAGUUUUGAGUGACACGAGUUGAACAAAGAAUUUUCAAUGCGUCAUGAGGAAUUAGAUAUGAUAUAAUUAUAUCAGAAAAGACCAUUUCUAUGUAGUAAUUUAUAUGAA